rnacentral:rRNA from 1 species
AUUGAACGCUGGCGGCAUGCCUUACACAUGCAAGUCGAACGGCAGCACGGGAGCAAUCCUGGUGGCGAGUGGCGAACGGGUGAGUAAUGCAUCGGAACGUGCCCAGUAGUGGGGGAUAGCCCGGCGAAAGCCGGAUUAAUACCGCAUACGACCUACGGGUGAAAGCGGGGGACCGUAAGGCCUCGCGCUAUUGGAGCGGCCGAUGUCAGAUUAGGUAGUUGGUGGGGUAAAGGCCUACCAAGCCGACGAUCUGUAGCUGGUCUGAGAGGGCGACCAGCAACACUGGGACUGAGACACGGCCCAGACUCCUACGGGAGGCAGCAGUGGGGAAUUUUGGACAAUGGGCGCAAGCCUGAUCCAGCCAUGCCGCGUGCGGGAAGAAGGCCUUCGGGUUGUAAACCGCUUUUGUCAGGGAAGAAACGCCUCGAGAUAAUACCUUGGGGUAAUGACGGUACCUGAAGAAUAAGCACCGGCUAACUACGUGCCAGCCGCCGCCGUAACAC